ACGCACGCUGGCGGCGUGCCUAAUACAUGCAAGUUGAGCGCUGAAGGUUGGUACUUGUACCGACUGGAUGAGCAGCGAACGGGUGAGUAACGCGUGGGGAAUCUGCCUUUGAGCGGGGGACAACAUUUGGAAACGAAUGCUAAUACCGCAUAAAAACUUUAAACACAAGUUUUAAGUUUGAAAGAUGCAAUUGCAUCACUCAAAGAUGAUCCCGCGUUGUAUUAGCUAGUUGGUGAGGUAAAGGCUCACCAAGGCGAUGAUACAUAGCCGACCUGAGAGGGUGAUCGGCCACAUUGGGACUGAGACACGGCCCAAACUCCUACGGGAGGCAGCAGUAGGGAAUCUUCGGCAAUGGACGAAAGUCUGACCGAGCAACGCCGCGUGAGUGAAGAAGGGUUUCGGAUCGUAAAACUCUGUUGGUAGAGAAGAACGUUGGUGAGAGUGGAAAGCUCAUCAAGUGACGGUAACUACCCAGAAAGGGACGGCUAACUACGUG
rnacentral:rRNA from 1 species